UGGCGGACGGGUGAGUAACGCGUGGGUAACCUGCCCUAUACUGGGGGAUAACAGCUAGAAAUGGCUGCUAAUACCGCAUGAGCGCACAGUCCCGCAUGGGACAGUGCGGAAAACUCCGGUGGUAUAGGAUGGACCCGCGUCCGAUCAGCUGGUUGGUGGGGUAACGGCCCACCAAGGCGACGAUCGGUAGCCGACCUGAGAGGGUGACCGGCCACAUUGGGACUGAGACACGGCCCAAACUCCUACGGGAGGCAGCAG
rnacentral:rRNA from 1 species